rnacentral:rRNA from 1 species
UGUGAGUGAUUCUUGUUAGGGGAAGAUGCGRUAGUAAAGGAUGGUCCACCUAUUAAUUUACUCUUUUUAUGUUGGUGUAUGUCUGGUUUGAUAUUAUUGUUUAGUAAUGUAAGUUUGUGUAGUUUUAGUUAAGCUAAGUCUAUGUGCUGCUUAUAAGAGUUUUUGUGUGUUASAGUUGAUAGGAAUAUUGUUGUAAUAUGGUAUUGUA